rnacentral:rRNA from 1 species
UGAGGAAUAUUGCACAAUGGGCGAAAGCCUGAUGCAGCGACGCCGCGUGAAGGAUGAAGCACCUCGGUGUGUAAACUUCUGUUGCGAGGGACGAAUGCCUACUUCGGUAGGAGUGACGGUACCUCGCGAGAAAGCUCCGGCUAACUACGUGCCAGCAGCCGCGGUAAUACGUAGGGAGCAAGCGUUGUCCGGAUUUACUGGGCGUAAAGGGCGUGUAGGUGGAAUGAUUAGUCGGUGGUGAAAGGUGUGGGCUUAACCCGCAGAUUGCCUUCGAUACUGUCAUUCUUGAGUGGAGGAGAGGAAAAUGGAAUUCCCGGUGUAGCGGUGGAAUGCGCAGAUAUCGGGAGGAACACCGGCGGCGAAGGCGGUUUUCUGGCCUCCUACUGACACUGAAACGCGAAAGCGUGGGGAGCAAACAGG